UACGGAGGGUGCGAGCGUUUGUCCGGAAUCACUGGGCGUAAAGGGCGCGUAGGCGGCAUGCCAAGCGUGUGGUGAAAGCCCGGGGCUCAACCCCCGGGUCGGCCGUGCGGACUGGCGUGCUCGAGCACUGUAGGGGCGGGUGGAAUUCCGGGUGGUAGGCGGUGGAAUGCGUAGGAGAUGGUGGAGGAACACCAGUGGCGGAAGGCGACUC
rnacentral:rRNA from 1 species